rnacentral:snoRNA from 1 species
ACUCUCCCAGGGGAGUGUAACACUCUCCCAGGGGAGUGUAACACUCUCCCAGGGAGUGUAACACUCUCCCAGGGAGUGUAACACUCUCCCAGGGAGUGUAACACUCUCCCAGGGAGUGUAACACUC